rnacentral:rRNA from 1 species
UACGAAGGGGGCGAGCGUUGUUCGGAUUUACUGGGCGUAAAGGGCGCGUAGGCGGCGGGUCAAGUCGAGUGUGAAAGCCCCGGGCUCAACCUGGGAAUUGCGCUCGAGACUGGUCUGCUUGAGUUCGGGAGAGGAGAGUGGAAUUCCCAGUGUAGAGGUGAAAUUCGUAGAUAUUGGGAAGAACACCGGUGGCGAAGGCGGCUCUCUGGACCGAGACUGACGCUGAGGCGCGAAAGUGUGGGGAGCGAACAGG